UACGUAGGGUGCAAGCGUUGCCCGGAUUUAUUGGGCGUAAAGGGCGCGUAGGCGGCUCGGCACGUCCGUUGUGAAAUCGCCCGGCUCAACUGGGCGGGGUCAGCGGAUACGGCCGAGCUUGAGCAAGCUAGGGGGCAAUGGAAUUCCCGGUGUAGUGGUGGAAUGCGUAGAUAUCGGGAGGAACACCAGUGGCGAAGGCGGUUGCCUGGAGCUUUGCUGACGCUGAUGCGCGAAAGCGAGGGGAGCGAUCCGG
rnacentral:rRNA from 1 species